rnacentral:rRNA from 1 species
UACGUAGGGGGCAAGCGUUGUCCGGAUUUAUUGGGCGUAAAGAGCGUGUAGGCGGCCAGACAGGUCCGUUGUGAAAACUCGAGGCUCAACCUCGAGACGUCGAUGGAAACCGUCUGGCUAGAGUCCGGAAGAGGAGAGUGGAAUUCCUGGUGUAGCGGUGAAAUGCGCAGAUAUCAGGAAGAACACCUAUGGCGAAGGCAGCUCUCUGGGACGGUACUGACGCUGAGGUGCGAAAGCGUGGGGAGCAAACAGG